AGCGGAGGAAAAGAAACCAACAGGGAUUGCCCUAGUAACGGCGAGUGAAGCGGCAACAGCUCAAAUUUGAAAUCUGGCCUCGGCCCGAGUUGUAAUUUGUAGAGGGAAGCUUUUGGCGCGGCACCUUCUGAGUCCCCUGGAACGGGGCGCCAUAGAGGGUGAGAGCCCCGUAUAGUUGGAUGCCUAGCCUCUGUAAAGCUCCUUCGACGAGUCGAGUAGUUUGGGAAUGCUGCUCAAAACGGGAGGUAAAUUUCUUCUAAAGCUAAAUACCGGCCAGAGACCGAUAGCGCACAAGUAGAGUGAUCGAAAGAUGAAAAGCACUUUGAAAAGAGGGUUAAAUAGCACGUGAAAUUGUUGAAAGGGAAGCGCUUGUGACCAGACUUGCGCCGGGCUGAUCAUCCGGUGUUCUCACCGGUGCACUCUGCCCGGCUCAGGCCAGCAUCGGUUCUCGCGGGGGGAUAAAGGCCCUGGGAACGUAGCUCCUCCGGGAGUGUUAUAGCCCAGGGCGCAAUGCCCUCACGGGGACCGAGGUUCGCGCUCUGCAAGGAUG
rnacentral:rRNA from 1 species